rnacentral:ncRNA from 2 species
UCAAUGGUGUGCGCCGAUUUGAUGCUCAGCUUGCGGGCGCGUUAAAAAUACAGCUAAAGCGUAGGAGCAUGACGCCCU